GAUGAACGCUGGCGGCGUGCCUAAUACAUGCAAGUCGAGCGAACGGACGAGAAGCUUGCUUCUCUGAUGUUAGCGGCGGACGGGUGAGUAACACGUGGAUAACCUACCUAUAAGACUGGGAUAACUUCGGGAAACCGGAGCUAAUACCGGAUGAUAUUUUGAACCGCAUGGUUCAAAAGUGAAAGACGGUCUUGCUGUCACUUAUAGAUGGAUCCGCGCUGCAUUAGCUAGUUGGUAAGGUAACGGCUUACCAAGGCAACGAUGCAUAGCCGACCUGAGAGGGUGGACCGGCCACCCGGAAACGGGACAACGUCCAGGCUACUAAGGGAGGCCGCAGUUAGGAAUCUUCCGGAAUGGGCGAAAGGCUGGCGGGACCACGACGGGUGGAUGGUGGAGGUUCUCGGAUCGGAAAACUUUGUUAUUAGGGAAGAAAAUAUGUGUAAGUAACUGUGCCAAUCUUGACAGGUCCUAAUCCAAAAGGCCAGGCUAAACACGUUC
rnacentral:rRNA from 1 species